rnacentral:rRNA from 1 species
ACUCAAAUGAAUAGACGGGGGCCCGCACAAGCGGCGGAGCAUGUGGCUUAAUUCGAUGCAACGCGAAGAACCUUACCUGGGUUUGACAUGCACGGAAAUCCUCCAGAGAUGGGGGGUCCUUUUGGGUCGUGCACAGGUGGUGCAUGGCUGUCGUCAGCUCGUGUCGUGAGAUGUUGGGUUAAGUCCCGCAACGAGCGCAACCCUCGUCCCAUGUUGCCAGCAAGUGAUGUUGGGGACUCAUGGGAGACUGCCGGGGUCAACUCGGAGGAAGGUGGGGAUGACGUCAAGUCAUCAUGCCCCUUAUGUCCAGGGCUGCACACAUGCUACAAUGGCCGGUACAGAGGGUUGCGAGACCGUGAGGUGGAGCGAAUCCCUUAAAGCCGGUCUCAGUUCGGAUCGGGGUCUGCAACUCGACCCCGUGAAGUCGGAGUCGCUAGUAAUCGCAGAUCAGCAAUGCUGCGGUGAAUACGUUCCCGGGCCUUGUACACACCGCCCGU